UUGUUAGCUCAGUUGGUUCAGAGCAUCUGCCUUACAAGCAGAGGGUCGGCGGUUCGAAUCCGUCACA
rnacentral:tRNA from 1 species